AGAACCUUUUAGAGUUUCAUUCAUUAGACUUUGAUGAUAAUGAAUGUUGUAUAACAUUGAAAGACAAGUCCUCUCUCCUUGAGGCACAAAUCCAAAACUUGUAACUAGGGUGAUACUAGGGUGGAAUUACUAGUGUUGCAUUCUUGCUUAGAACGUUGGGUGCUAUAGGAGGUUGAGGUCUCUCUUGUACCCACUGAAGAGAGUAGGUGUUCCUAUUAUCAUUGUAUUAAGGGUCUAGGUGCUUGAAUACACUUAGGUUCUUAGUUCAUGAGAUAGUGUAUGUCACUCUAUCUAUCCUUUCUAUUCUUGCAAUCUUGUAAUGUUUGUAUCUCAUAUUGUACCCGUUUGUGUUGUUGUUGUUAUUCCCAUUGUUAAGUUCAUCUUGUUCUUC